UUUGCAAAAGCCCCGUGGCCCUGCUCUCCCGGCCAGAGCUCCAGCCAGCACACGGCAGCCCCUUGCUAAAGCCAGCCCUGGGUAAAGGAGGCAGAGAAGAGAAAAGGAUCCCGUGGAAAAGGGAGAGAAAUGAAGGAGAGGAGUCAGCAUGCGGUCAAAAAGAAUGGUGAUUGUUCUCAAUUCAAAGAAUGACUCCUCUCUGUGGCUAUAGGGAAACACAAGUGUAAUGAGGGAUCAGGGCCGGCGCUUCCAUUUAGGCAACCUAGGCGGUAGCCUAGGGCACCAGGAUUUGGGGGGGCGGCAAUUCGGCGGCAGGUCCUUCACUCACUCCAGGACCCGCCGCCGAAGUGCCCCGAAGACUGGGAGCGCAGAAGGACCCCCCCGCCGCAGAAUUGCCGACGACGGCCAGGAGCACGGAAGGACCCCCGGCUAGGGCGCCAAAAACCCUGGCACUGCUUCUGCUUCCACUGCAGCAAUGAACCUGAGUUUAACCUGUCUCAUCCAAAGGACAACACACAGUGGAUUGUAGUGUUAGCUUUGGAUAGGCCCCAAAGGUCUGUGGCGGGAUAUGAAAUGACAACUUUCUGACCCAGAAAUGAGUGCUGCCAAAGGAGACUUCUUCAUGCAUCCCCCCCUGUAAAAAAUGUCUUUAUUACAGUGGGUCUGAUUCAUAUUUGCUAAAGUUAUUUGCAAGAGUAAAUGGUUACCCACACUGAACUGCAGACACAAAAUCAGGAAACCACCGUUUGAAAAUGUUCUCCCUGUCUGCUGCCAAUGAAUGCUGCAGAAGCAGAUCUGACUGCAGAAUUGGAGCAUUAAAGUCUGAUCCUCUUCCCAAACUGCCACUGACUACAAUGAGAGCAUGACCAGGUUCUUAACAAGCCCAGUAAGCUUUGUACAAAUCUACCCUCAACCCACUUCUACUUCUAGUUAAGCUAUUAAUGGAAAUAAAUGGAGAAGACAGAGGUCUUUGUUCCCUUGGCCAAAAAGUGAGAGACUCAAAUGCUGGUAAAGCAAGUAGGGCCAUAGGAAGACUGCUUAGGAAAUAUCCUGGGGUGAGAGUGGGAGGUAACAAGAUGUCCUCAUGUUAGGUGGGCUUUAAAUUUGCAUUGUUGCCUUAGAAGGAAAUCUCAAAAUGUUGGGCAUGGGCUACAUCCACCAUAAUUGAACUGGCCUCAUUAGCACUGAUCCCCCACUUGAUAAGGCAAUUCCCAUCUUUUCAUGUGCUGUAUAUUUAUACCUGCUUACUGUAUUUUCCACUCCAUGCAUUUGAUGAAGUGGGUUAUAUCCCACAAAAGCUUAUGU